UGCGUCUCAGUUUGCCUCAGACUUAAGUGGCUGGUGGAAGUGAGAGAUCUCUAAAGAUUCACCCAAUCCCAUUGUUCUAAGGUAAUAAAUCCUAUAAUUGCUGUAUCCUCAGAACCCAGCACGGGGCACUGCAUACGGUAGAUCUGCUUAACCAUGUACCAAAUGCAUCCGCCUCUUCCCCAACAUCCAUUACUACUGGAACCCACCAAGAACUGAAUUCCAUGGUACUUCUCAGGAUUCUUGAGGUCUGGACUAAGCCCUGGAUUGGGAAAGACGUGUUUAUGAUGCAGACCAGUUGGGGAGAUUUUUCUUGAAGGAGCAGCAGCUUGGGAAUAGCUGACCUGCACCUGUCAUUCUGGAUAAGGAUAGCAUGUUCAUAAAAGGGAAAUGAGUGGAGAAGGAGGGAAGGAGUUGUGAGCAAAGCAUUUAAAGCGUUGCCAGAAUAUAAGCAACAGUGCUUCAUGUCGUGAAAAACUGAGAAAAGGAGUCUUUAUGUACAGGAAGAACUCAGCAGCUGACCUCAAGAAGAAAGGAAAACAUCCUCUCUUCACUUUUCUCUGGGAUGCCUGUGCCCAGGGUCUUGAGUUUCCGACUGGGGCAUAAUGGAUUUUUGGUGGCCUGUGACUUUAUUAUGGGUCUUUUCCCAAAGUGUUUUGAAAUGGUAUGAAAGAGUGUAUUCAGUUAGAAACCUUGAGUUCUACUCCCAGGCUACUUAGAGGUUGUUUUGCAAACUUGAACAAGUCAAGUAAACCUGACUUCAACUCUACGCAAUGGAUUAUGCAAUGGUUGAAGUUCUAAGCUUGGAAGUUUCCAAUGAGAACAAAUAGGGGUGGUGAGAGCUGCCCUGCCCCUUUCAGGGACAUUAAGAGGGUCACCAGGCAGGUGAAUGUGACAGUGCCCUAAAGUUAUGAAGAAAUCUGUGCAAAACUGUAUGUUGUUAUAGUUCUUCUUGGGGCUGAUGCACCGUGACCCCUUCAACAGUUGAUGAAUCAUGGGAUAAUUGUUGAUGAGUCAUGGGAUAGGUGCUGCUUCAAGGGAUGUGGAUGUAGGUUGGACAGAGGCCGACCCCAACUCUCUACUCAUUUGCACUGUGCAUGGCAAAUUUGUUCUGGGAGUUUCUGCUUUGCUCCUGUCUUAAGCCAUCAGACCACGUGUUCAGUAGUCCAGCCCUGGCCACAGCCUCUCUGCCUGGCUGGGCCCAGGCUACUUCUAAACUCUCUGUUUUUUUUAUUUUAUUUUAUUUUUAUUUUUUUUUAUUUCAGAUUUUAUCCAACAUGGAUGUCUUGAUCCAAGAGAAAAAAAGGGAUCCCUUCAAAGUCCUUUCCCCAGUUUCCUGCUUAGUCCCACUCCUAGAGCCCUAGGGGGUUCUGUAGCUCCUCUAUAUUUUCAGGGAACUGAGCUGAAGCCAAUACGAGAUUUUAAAAGAUACCCUAUCCUUAAGCAAAGUGAGUGAUGGUGCUCAGCAUCCAUGCCAACGGUCAAAUUUUGGCUGUUUUAUUCACAUAUCUAUGUAAUUUGUAGUUUUUUGGGGGGUGGGGUGGAGGUGGCUGGACCAACAACAAACAGCUAAUCUAAAUGAGACAUUCCUGGAAAAUGAGGCACAUAAAGCUUUCUCUUUUCAUAUCCAAAAUGGAAUAAACAAUUCCACCAGCGACCACAGGAAUGCUGCUGGGGCACGAGGGCUUCAGCCUUCCUGAUGGUCAGGCACUGACUUUAAGCUUAGACUCUAGAAUUUGUUAAUGAGAGGCCCUCCUGGACAGGAAGGAAGGAGGCUUGCUUGGGGUCUGAUCUGUAAAGCACACUGGUGGAAGCUGUUUACAUGCAGCUACACAAGAGGCUUCUUCCUGAGUACCAGGCCACCCUCAGUAAGGCACUGAGUGAGCACCAGGCAUCACCAGGAAUGAGGUCUCUGCCCCAGUCCUGGCCAAAUGGAAUAAGCAAACAGACUGAGGGUGUGUCAGUGGCUUUCCUGAGUUCCCGCACCUGGUAAAUGAUGGAGUUUAGACUUGAAAAUUCUGCCUCCUGUCUCCAGGUCCAGGGAUCUCUCUGGGACGUCAGAGAAGUCAGUUAAUCUCUGCCACUCCUUCCUACCUGGAUGUUCAAUGAAAAGCCUGUUGGGCUUUCUGAGGACUAGAAGGGGGACACUGCCGAGAAUUCAGUGAGGCCAGCCCACACCCCCACCCCUUCUAGGAGAUUACCUUUAGAUCCUCCAGCCCCAGUCUGCAGCCUCCUGGGCUGAUGCUUUCUUUCUCUAUUUACAGACACUAAUCAUUUCCCAUGCAAUUGAACAACUUAAUAAGCUGCGAAAAUUUGAUAAGACAAUUUAAUUGUCGGCUUUUACAUAUCUGCUCAAUAUAGUUGGGUUUCUAGGGAAGGUGAGUGGGGAAUGUGAGCAGAGGCACUUAAUUAAAGAACUAAAACAGUGGGGCUAGAUUAGAGAGAACUCUGGCAGACACCAACCCUGGACCUACGUCUCUUCUCUCCCCCUUUCACAUGGGCCCUUUCUUUGAAAUUUUAUAAGCUCCAUCCUCUGGGUAGUAGCAAAAUAGAGAUGCAGGCCCAGGCACUUGAUGUGCAGUGUGGGGAGCUGACUUUGCAUGGGGCGGCUCCCAACUGUUAUCGGGGAGCUUUUUCUCGGGCCCAAAGUGGUUGGGUUUUAAGGGGAAGACCUAAUUCUGCGUGUAUGGUCGUAGCUCAAAGGGAUAGUUCAAAAUGGCCUCCUCAUUGAUGGGGAAGGAUGGGGGCUGAUUAUAAAAAAUUAUAAUCAUUUUUUUGGUCUUUUCCUCUAUCUUUUUGGGGAAUUUUAUGGCCAUUUGGGCAAUGCUGCAUCAUGGAGUAUUGAUGCCAAUUUUAAAUCACACAUCCUCAUUUUAUCUAAUUGAAUUCUCAUGCUAACUCUGAAAGGAAUAGGAAUCAUUAUUCCUAUUUCACAGGUGCAGAUCCUGAGACUCAGAGAGGUUAAGAAACUCGCCCAACGCCACACAGCUAGAUAAACACCUCAGGAUUUAAAUAGAUUGCAGGGGACACCAACAAGGCUCUGCUCAGAUCCCCUCAGAUCCCUCUGGCCCAUCUGUGCAUGCAGUAACAUCUGCUUCACCGUUGACUGCUUGAACCUGUGGAUCCACUUCACCUAAGAGCACAGAGAGCUGAAAGGGCCUGGAAUCCUGUUGCCUCCCGGGCAGCCUGCAGCCAAUGAGUAACUGGUGCUGGAAAACAGAAGGCUGCUCCCUUGCUGGAGGUAGGACAAACACUGAGGUGUAAUCUAUGCUCCAGGGUCCCCCAGGGGAUCAGGCUGAGGUUGGGACUUUGCCUAAAAUCCCACCCUUGCUUGGUUUCUUCCCUUUCCCUGUUUUUCCUUCUUCUCUCACUCUCUCAUUUCUGUUCCUUCUUCCUUAAAUAAAUCUCCUGCACACAAAUUCUCAUCUCAAGGUGUGCCUCUGGGCAGCCUGAUGUGAGAUACAGAUGUGUGUUUGACCUCAGCCUGCCCUUUCUGGAGUCCUGCAGCCUCGCCCCUUGUUUUGUGGGGUUAUCAGAUCUCGCUACGUAGACUCGGGGUACGGAAUACAUCCAGCUUGGAAUUUCUGGGUGCUCGCAAGUUCUCAGUAGAACGCUCUUGGAAUGAAUUACUUAGCCUCUUUAGGCUGCAGUUUCAUCACCUAUAAGACAGAAAUAGUAAUUGUAUUGCUCUUAAAGGACUUUUACUUUGUGGAAAGCCAAUGAGUCUGCAUAUGUAGAACACAGCAGCGAGCACAUAGUAAGUGGUCGAUAAAUCUUCAUGAUUAUGAUUAUCAGUAUUCAAGUAUUUGCCAUCUCGUCAGACCUUGGCUUGUAGUUGGGAGUCAGAAAUGAGGUCACUGUGCUGUGAGUUCUUGUUGGGCAGGAAUCUGCCAUGUGUUCCGUGCACUUUAAGCACUUAUUAAAACAUUUCGGAUAGAAACAUUUUCACAAAGGCUGCUCAUUACUGUAGCCAGCAUUUGCCUACGAAUGUCAGGAAAACCAUUUUAUGAUGUUGCUGUAAUGUGUCGUGUUCACUGUCGCAUUCUCUCUUUCGGUCUCCCUUUCACUGGUGAGACACGUUUGCCAAGCAUUUCACAAAUGCAGUGGGGGGAAAAGGGAAGAGAGGAAGAGAUGGGAAAAGGAUAGUGAAGGGAGGAGCAGGAGCAGGCAGCUCGGCGGCAUUCCCCAGGCACCGCAUUAAGGGCCUGAUUAACUUAAAAUAUUUCCCAGCUUCUGAGGCACUUGAUUAAAGUCAAUUGGGGGGAAAGAAGAUAAGCUCUUACAAGGGCUAAUUUGAGGCUUAGAAAACUUGAAUAUGUCUAAAUCUCAAAUUGUCGGGUGUGUAGCGCUGGUGAUUGUCGGGUCUGUGGGGAGAGCGUUUUAACAUGCUGGCGGUGCAUCCGCGGUACCACCUGUCCCAGCUCCCUGGUCCCCACCCUUCCUCCAGGCAACUGCCUUGCGUCCCCUCCCAUCUUCCCUUUUCUUCCGCUUGUGAGGGCUUAGACGAUUUUGCCUUUUGAAGGCACGGAAAUAGAUGGCUUUACAUUCAGAACACAGCCUCUGCCUCCUUCUUCCUCCCCCAGAUGCCUGGAAAAAUCAAAAUCGGGGUUUAGCAAUGCAGUCCCGUGGCACUCUCUUGAUGUGUUAAUGGGUCGUGCUUGCUGCACUGCCGUCCCAGCCGCCAGGGACACUGUGAUAUGGGCAGAGUUCGCCCUUCCCCAUCAGUGCAGGUGGCAAGGAGCCAGGCAGGGAGCAAUUGUUUUCCUGUCAUGAACCACACUGGGCUAACUUUUGAUCUUUGACAGGGAAUUUCCUGCAAAGAUGCAGAGAGAGCAGGGCUGUAGUCCAGGCCGAUCUGCUCAGCACAGUGAGGAAUCAGGUCUGGGAGGCGUGUUUUGUUGCCACUGGAUGCUGUAUUAGUUUUCUAUUGCUGUAUAACUAAUCACCACAAAUUUAAUGGCUUAAAGCAACGCCCAUUUAUUCGUAUACAGUUUUGUAGGUCAGAAGUCCAGCAUGGUAUGGCUGAAUUCUCUGCUCAGGGUAUCAUAAGACUGAUAUUAAGGUACAGGCUGGAUUGAGUCCUCUACUGGGAGCUCUGGGGAGACAUCUAUUUCCAAGCUCACUCAAAGUAUUGACAGAAUUGGCUUCUUAUGGGUGAAGGACUGGAGUCUGUUUCCUUGCUGGAGGUCAAUCAGGAGCCUCUGUGAGCAACGUAAGGCCACUCACAUUCCUUUUCCUGGGGUCGCCCGCAUCUUCAAACCAACAAAGACAUAGCAAAUCCCCUUGUGCCUCAAAUCUUUCUGAUUCCUCUUCUGCCACCAGCUGGAGAAAAUUCUGCUUUUAAAUGGCUCAUCUGAUUGGGUCAGGCCCACCCAGAUAACCGCUGCUUUUUAAGGUCUGUUGAUUUGGGACUUUACAUCUACAAAAUCCCUUUACCGCAGUACCUCGAUUAGCAUUGGAGUAACUAGGGGACCAGAAUGUUGGGAGUGGGG
rnacentral:lncRNA from 1 species